rnacentral:rRNA from 1 species
AGCGUUGUUCGGAUUCACUGGGCGUAAAGGGUGCGUAGGUGGCGGGGUAAGUCUGAUGUGAAAUCUCCGAGCUUAACUCGGAAACUGCAUCGGAUACUGCCUUGCUCGAGGGUUGGAGGGGGGACUGGAAUACUUGGUGUAGCAGUGAAAUGCGUAGAUAUUGGGAAGAACACCGGUGGCGCAAGCGACUCGCUGGGCCAUUACUGACGCUGAGGAACGAAAGCUAGGGGAGCGAAUGGG